UACGUAGGGUGCGAGCGUUAAUCGGAAUUACUGGGCGUAAAGCGUGCGCAGGCGGUUAUUUAAGUCAGGUGUGAAAGCCCUGGGCUUAACCUAGGAAUUGCGCUUGAGACUGGAUAGCUUAGAGUGCGGCAGAGGGAGGUGGAAUUCCACGUGUAGCAGUGAAAUGCGUAGAGAUGUGGAGGAACACCGAUGGCGAAGGCAGCCUCCUGGGCCAGCACUGACGCUCAUGCACGAAAGCGUGGGGAGCAAACAGG
rnacentral:rRNA from 1 species